AUUAUACGCUACUAUAUAUAUUUUUGAUUUAAACUAUCACUACAAGGAAUCACCACUUCAAGCACAAGCUGAUUUGAAGCAGGACGUGGAUUUAGUGGAAAGUUGUUUAGAUCAUCUAAAAUAUGAUCGUCUGCUUAAUACAAAGGUAGCAUGGUUCAAGCUUCAAAGAGUGCUUAGACUUUAGAGCAGGAGAGACUACAAAAACUUAUGUGUAGCAUGGUUCGAGCCUCAAAGAGUGCUUUGACUCUGACUCUAGAGCAGGAGAGACUACAGAAACUUAGGGAGGGGUAAAGGAGGGGAACCAAGGAUUGAGAUUGAGUUCAAAUAAGGAUUUUAGCACCCAUGAAAAGCAUAUUGCUAGGAUAAUUAAACAAAUAGGGGGGAUAGAAGAGAAUGUCAGGUUCCAAGUGCUAUGGUUCUUUUUCUUGUAGAGCUCCAUGGAGUUUGCAUUUAUUCGGUUCGGAAGCACAUAGAAUAUCUCUAACCUUAUUCUAUAUGGCUGCAUUUGAGUCCAACGAGUCAUAUCAUAAAACUACUGGAUUUUGAGAAGACAACGGAAAAAAUAUGGAGAGUGAUGAGAAUUAUUCGAUGUCAAUUAUCAAGUUGUUUGUACUCUCGAACUAAACUCUAGAUAUUGUUAUUCGUAGUUCCAUUCAUAUUAUGUUUUACAUGUAUUUAUAAAAGAUGUUGGAGAUAUCUACGAAUGUUCCAACUUUACAUAGACAUUCUUUAAUGAAAAAAGAAAAUUUCAGCAAUACUCAAAGGCUGUACUCCAGAAAUUGUGUAUAAACUUGUAACGAACUUUGUUUAA